UACGGGGGGGGCAAGCGUUGUUCGGAAUUACUGGGCGUAAAGGGCUCGUAGGUGGCCAACUAAGUCAGACGUGAAAUCCCUCGGCUUAACCGGGGAACUGCGUCUGAUACUGGAUGGCUUGAGAUUGGGAGAGGGACGCGGAAUUCCUGGUGUAGCGGUGAAAUGCGCAGAUAUCAGGAGGAACACCGAUGGCGAAGGCAGGUCUCUGGGCCACUACUGACGCUGAGAAGCGAAAGCAUGGGGGAGCAAACAGG
rnacentral:rRNA from 1 species